AGUGAACGCUGGCGGUAGGCCUAACACAUGCAAGUCGAACGGCAGCACAGUAAAAGCUUGCUCUUACGGGUGGCGAGUGGCGGACGGGGGAGGAAUACAUCGGAAUCUACUUUUUCGUGGGGGAUAACGUAGGGACACUUACGCUAAUACCGCAUACGACCUACGGGUGAAAGCAGGGGAUCUUCGGACCUUGCGCGACUGAAUGAGCCGAUGUCGGAUGAGCUAGUUGGCGGGGUAAAGGCCCACCAAGGCGACGAUCCGUAGGGGGUCUGAGAGGAAGGUCCGCGGGAUUGGAACUGAGACACGGUCCAAACUGCUACGGGAGGCAGGAGUGAGGAAUAUUGGUCAAUGGGGGAGAGCGUGAAGCAGCCAAGUAGCGUGCAGGAGGACGGCGCUAUGGGUUGUAAACUGCUUUUAUAAGGGAAUAAAGUGGGUCACGUGUGACUUUUUGCAUGUACCUUAUGAAUAAGGACCGGCUAAUUCCGUG
rnacentral:rRNA from 1 species